UACGGUAGGGGGCUAGCGUUAUCCGGAAUUACUGGGGCGUAAAGGGUGCGUAGGUGGUUUCUUAAGUCAGAGGUGAAAGGCUACGGCUCAACCGUAGUAAGCCUUUGAAACUGGGAAACUUGAGUGCAGGAGAGGAGAGUGGAAUUCCUAGUGUAGCGGUGAAAUGCGUAGAUAUUAGGAGGAACACCAGUUGCGAAGGCGGCUCUCUGGACUGUAACUGACACUGAGGCACGAAAGCGUGGGGAGCAAACAGGAUUAGAUACCCCCGUAGUCCCUGAGCGGGCU
rnacentral:rRNA from 1 species